rnacentral:lncRNA from 1 species
CAGGAUUAGAGUUGAAGCCACAUGACCCUCUUACUGAUGGAUUCUUGAAAAUAAAUAAAAAGCACUUUGGGUUUUUCCGGGUAAAUUAUGACACUCACAAUUGGAAUGAACUGUCUAAUUUAUUACUGACCAACCAUACGGUAAGCAUCAAUAUAAACAAUAAACUGAUGAAAUGUUUAAACCAACUUUCAUUUUUUUACAAUAUACAAGAUUUUUUAUGAUAUAUAUUAAUAAAAGAAAACGCUGUCUGUUUUCAGGUUUUCACUGUUUAUAGUUGAGUAACACUAGUAAACACCAUUUUUAUACAGGUAUAACCAUCUGAUGUUUAUUAAGAAGCGUGCAUUUUCUGCCUAAUGGGGGGCCACAACACAUUUUGUUAUGGUGCGCAACUUUGGAUUUUUAUUUUUAUUUUUAAAUGUGGUCAGCUAUUGAAAAUUUAGCCACAAUUGAUCAUUUAUAUGUUAUGUAUCAAAAAGACUAAAACUUAAAGGAACACUCUAAGCAUCAUUUGCAAUAAAGCACGCAGUAGAAGUUAUGGUGCCAGAAGUUCUCUGAUGCCCCUGAUUGUAAGUAGUUACACCUCUACCUCUACUGCAGAAUUUUAAAUUAUUUGUCUUCCUAAUUACAGCCGUACUGUCCUCAUGCAAUCUUUAUUGGUGAAUUUCAUAAUGCCUAUUAAUAGCAUGAUUUCCCAUUUGAAGUUACCGCCGGUAUCAUAAUGCUGUUAAGAGGCAUUAUGUAAAUGCCUAUUAAAUGUAAUUUCAUUCUAACUGUAUUUUGUUAUUAAUAUAUAUAUAUAUAUAUAUAUAUAUAUGUAACAAAAUACACUUAGAAUGACAUUCUAUAUAUAUAUAUAUAUAUAUAUAUAUAUAUAUAUAUAUCUUUCUAUAUAUAAAAUACAAAUAACCGCAAGGGAAGUCAUUAAGUAAUGUGCCCCGGGGUGGCCAACAUUUCGCAUAGAUGAACGCAGUCCAGGGUGAGCAUCUGUAUCCCGAAAGGAGCCGCUUACCUUGCAGGGUUUCACACAGGAACAUUGCGAGUGGAGACUGGUUGAGUAAGGCACCACUGUGAGGGUCCCUGAGGUUGGUGUGGACACUUUUGGGGCACUGGCUAGGUUGGCGGGCUUUCCGAUACCUGCAGGACAAAGAGACCAGCUCUUUUCCCGUGGUCAGGCUUUUCUGUGCCUGGGAGACAAAGGGACAGUCCCUUUUUCCCGCGCCUGGACUCCCAGGCACAGAGGCUUCUGGGAAGAGGACCCUUGGCGGUUGGUGUGGGAAAUCCUGUGGUUUCAGUGGCGGCCUUUGGGGACAAAGGGAACGGAGUCACUUCCCACGCUAGGACCCCAGGGAGGGGGAGGAUCCUGGGAUGUGACCCCGUAUGAUUGUGUGGUAGACCUCUUGCAUCUGGUUAUGCAUAAAAGCCGUGUGUGGCCAAUAAAAUUGUGUUGUACCUCUAGAACUCGGUGUCGUCCAGUUACUGGGGGGGAAAUGGGUCUUUUAUCAUUAUAAGUGGUUCCUGAGUGGCUGAAGGAAGGAAUUAGCUGGGGUCCGUUGCAGUGUCACAUACAUCACAGAAAAGGUGGGGUAGGGAAGGAGGAACGAGACUAUCUAGGUACCUGUUAAUGCACUCGGAGCAUGCUAACAGUCCACAGGUUAGGGUGUGCAAUACUUGCCUUGUCUUAGGUGCUGGCGACCCAUGCUACACCACUGACUGCAGCAUAGUGAGACACGGAAUCCCUUGCUCAGGAGCUUACAUUAGCUCUCACAGACAAAGCCCUGUAUUCCAAGGCUAGCUUCAUUGCCUGAGUCUGUCAGUCGAUCGGUUUCACACAAUGAGCUAAGCCCUACAUUGGCUAUCUUAGCUCAGGGAAAACUGCAUCCAGCUCUUACCCAGGUGUUGUAGAGGUGAGGAGAUCCCCCCGGCAGACACCAGAUGAAAGGUUGAACUUCUCUAAAAUAGUUAGACUAGUUAGAAUGGGGGAUGCUAGGACACUACUGACACCAUAACUACUACAGAUUGCGGUAGUGGCUAUGGGGCUUGGGAUGUUCCUUUAACAAUCUUUUUUUUUCCAAACAAACUUUACUUAUAUUUGAGAAUCCACUAUUUUAAAGCAUGUUGCAUCUUUACUUGAGGUGUAAGUAACAUUGUGGGCAAUUUAUUAAUUUUGUUUAUUUCUGUAGAUUUUUUCUGAAGGAGAUCGAGCAGGUAUAAUUGAUGAUGGUUUUGCUUUGGCAAGGUGGGUUAUAGAGCGUUUGCUCAUUUCAUUUUUCCCUUAAUUUUAUAACCUACAGGUAAGCUUCAUUGUGAAAUCAGUAUAUUUCUAUAAGUAAACAAGCCUUUAGAUGAAGUAUUUUCUAUAACUAAAAAGCAUUCAUUUCUGUCAGCACUUGUCUGUCAAAUUUCUAAUUCUGCUUAGUACAGAAUAUACUUAGUAUAUAAUAUAAUAAAUAUAACACUAGACCAGCAUUAAUGAAAUUCGUGAGAAAAUUCCAUAGCAUUAAAUCUUAACAAAAAGAGAAAUUGGAGAUUCUAUGGG